rnacentral:rRNA from 1 species
UACGUAGGGGGCAAGCGUUGUCCGGAAUCAUUGGGCGUAAAGCGCGCGUAGGCGGCCAGAUAAGUCCGGUGUGAAAGCCACAGGCUCAACCUGUGAAUGCCGCUGGAAACUGUCUGGCUAGAGUCCGGGAGGGGCGAGUGGAAUUCCUGGUGUAGCGGUGAAAUGCGCAGAUAUCUGGAGGAAUACCGGUGGCGAAGGCGGCAUCCUGGACCGACAUUGACGCUGAGGAGCGAAAGCUAGGGGAGCAAACGGG